GCCACCAACGGCUCCCCCUCAGCCGCCAACGGUUCCUCCUCAGCUUCCAACGGCUCCCCCUCAGCCACCAGCGGCGUAUCCCGAGCCUCCAAGGGCUGCUCCUAGGUCCCCAGCAGGUUCCACUAAGCCACCAGCGGCUCCCUCUCAGCAUUGCCCCGUGGAGGAGCGGAGACCUGCACUGCUUUACGUGCUCUCUUUCAGGAAAUGGCCAGUUUUUGGAUAGGCACUGCCAGUCCCCCCACUCUUUUGCUAAGUCACUUCUGAAAUUGGGACUACAGGCCUGACUAAGGCAGGAACCUGCAUGAGAAGAAACUGAUUUUCUGGGCUGGUAAAAGAGGAGCUAGCUGAAGCAGUUAGAGGAAGACUUUGAGAACCAUUUUAUAUGCAUUGUCUUAAAACCUACACCUAACUUUUCAGCCAUUGGCUUUGUCCAAGAACAGUCUCAGCUUGACAACUAUUACAAAUCCCUGAAUACUACAUCCCCUUUGUUCUCCCUUUCCUACUACAUUUGCAGGGUGAAUGCAGCUGUCUCAAGAAAUAAAUUUUCUCCCUCAUAGAAGAAGGUUUGUAUCGUGCAAGAAGAGAGUGAUUCUGAGUACAUGUGACUGCCACAGACCACAUGGAAACACACACAGCUUUAGCACUGAAGACUGUGUAGUAGAUUGAAAUGGAAUUUUGGUGCUUGCUUCACAACUUAGUCUGGUUACAGAGGGAUGGUUUAUGGACUUAAGUUUUUCAGUAAGGAAUCUAAAUGUGUUGUACAGUCACUAGUCUUAAGGAGUAAAUUUUUUGAAGUAAAAUUGUUACUAUUUUUAUCUUGGGACCGAGUACUUUCCUUUGAUAACUUGAUGUCUAUGCAGUAUUUCAUGUAUCAUAGAAUCAUAGAAUCACAGAAUUGUAUGAAUUGGUAGAGACUUUAAACACCAACCAGUUCCAACCCUCCUAGCAUGGACAGGGACAUCUAGCACUAGAUCAGAUUGCCCACAGUCCCAUCCAACCUGGCCAGCCACAACUUCUCUAGGCAAUGUGUUCCAG